rnacentral:tRNA from 1 species
UGAUGUAUAGCUCAAUGGUUGAGCACUUGCCUAGCAUGCAUGAGGCCCUUGGUUCAAUCUCUAGCAUUGCAA